rnacentral:tRNA from 1 species
GGAGUUGUACUCAAGUGGUGAAGAGGUGCCCCUGCUAAGGGCAUAGGUCGGGCAACCGGCGCGAGCGUUCAAAUCGCUCCAACUCCGCCA